AGAGSSUGCGAGCGUUGUCCGGAAUCACUGGGCGUAAAGGGCGCGUAGGCGGCUUGAUAAGCGUGCGGUGAAAGCCCGGGGCUCAACCCCGGGUCGGCCGUGCGAACUGUCGAGCUGGAGCACUGUAGAGGCAGGUGGAAUUCCGGGUGUAGCGGUGGAAUGCGUAGAGAUCCGGAAGAACACCGGUGGCGAAGGCGGCCUGCUGGGCAGUGGCUGACGCUGAGGCGCGACAGCGUGGGGAGCAAACAGGAUUAGAUACCCUGGUAGUCCACGCCGUAAACGAUGGGCACUAGGUGCUUGGGGGAGCGACCCUCCGAGUGCCGGCGCUAACGCAUUAAGUGCCCCGCCUGGGGAGUACGGCCGCAAGGCUG
rnacentral:rRNA from 1 species